CUUGAAUUAAUUAUGAACAUGAUUAAGAAAGCUAAAAUCUCAGGAGCCAGUCUCUCAUUACCCAUUCACUCUUAGGGAUUGCUUUCAUUCAGGGAAGGAGAGGCGAAAAAGCCUUCCAGCAGAGCCCACUCCGGCUCAGCUCUUCUCCCUGUGUGCCUGUCCCCUUGUCUCUGCUGCCGGGCCAACUGACCAAGCCUCCGACAGACAGACCGGCCGGCCGGCCGCCAGCCCGCCCGCCGCCUGGACGGCUCUCUUGCACUCAUGCCUGUUAUGGUGAUGUGGCCAAGCUCAGCUAGCUGCUUCGUGGCCUCUGACGUUUGCAUGGAAAAGAGAGGAUGUGCUCAACCUUCCUGUUCUACACCUGAGUUCAAGCUCUGGGGUCUUGACCCUCUUAAAAAAAGAAACACUCGAGACAGAAGUCUUUGGAACAAGUCAUGACCGUUCGCCUCCUGUUAUAUGCAGGGAACACAGCAACCUCUUCUGGACAAAAGUGAAAGUAGCAGACAGUGUAAAGAAGCCAGCAUAACCGAAACUCAUAAAAGGCCUCGGCUUCAAGAAUGGACAAAGCCAGGAUAGGACAUGCAAAGUUUGGCUUCAGAUGAGCCCUGGCAGCCACAACGAACACAGCCAAGAGCAUGGUAACCUUUUCACCCACAUACGUAAGAUUCUGAUUUGAAAACACAAAAUUGAAGCUUUUACUAAAAGAAAGAAUGGAUCUUUUAAACAGCGUGAGUAAAGAUAUUGCACAGACAAGUAUCAGACUCAAAUAUCACCAUCAAAGAAUGAUCAGAAAACAUUUAGCGCAUGACUUGAAAUAUUACCAACAUCGCCAAGAGAAACCAAACAACUUAAGGUUGGAUAAAUGACACGCUUACAUGAACGCUCUGACUGGGAUGUAAAAGAAUAAUUUUGUCGCCGCUAGAAAACAUAUGAAGAAAUGCCAGUUUUGAAAAAUGUCAUCUUUAAAAGGGAAAUCUAAAUGUCAGAGAGACAGAUACUUUACACAUAGAGAGCGCUGCCUUCUGGGCGUAACACAGAAAGGCGUGAGAAUAAUAUUUUUUUCCCAGUUGAAAUGAACUGCAAUUACCCGUCAUCAGGCACAGAAAGCAGCACGCUUCACAUCCACAGUCACAUCGCCUGGAGAGGAGCGUGGUCACUGUUUGCAACAUUAGUCAGGAAAUCUGAGGAGGAAAGCACAACAAAAGAAAGAAAUGUGUUUUUGUUAUG
ensembl:lncRNA